rnacentral:rRNA from 1 species
UACGGAGGGUGCUAGCGUUGUUCGGAAUCACUGGGCGUAAAGCGCGCGUAGGCGGUCUGCUAAGUCUGAUGUGAAAGCCCGGGGCUCACCCCCGGAAGUGCAUUGGAAACUGGCAGACUGGAGUCCCGGAGAGGGGGGUGGAAUUCCUGGUGUAGCGGUGAAAUGCGUAGAUAUCAGGAGGAACACCGGUGGCGAAGGCGGCCCUCUGGACGGUGACUGACGCUGAGACGCGAAAGCGUGGGGAGCAAACAGG